rnacentral:rRNA from 1 species
AUUGAACGCUGGCGGCAGGCCUAACACAUGCAAGUCGAGCGGAUGAAGGGAGCUUGCUCCUGGAUUCAGCGGCGGACGGGUGAGUAAUGCCUAGGAAUCUGCCUGGUAGUGGGGGAUAACGUCCGGAAACGGGCGCUAAUACCGCAUACGUCCUGAGGGAGAAAGUGGGGGAUCUUCGACCUCACGCUUUCAGAUUAGCCUAGGUCGGAUUAGCUAGUUGGUGGGGUAAAGGCCUACCAAGGCGACGAUCCGUAACUGGUCUGAGAGGAUGAUCAGUCACACUGGAACUGAGACACGGUCCAGACUCCUACGGGAGGCAGCAGUGGGGAAUAUUGGACAAUGGGCGAAAGCCUGAUCCAGCCAUGCCGCGUGUGUGAAGAAGGUCUUCGGAUUGUAAAGCACUUUAAGUUGGGAGGAAGGGCAGUAAGUUAAUACCUUGCUGUUUUGACGUUACCAACAGAAUAAGCACCGGCUAACUUCGUG